AGCGUUGGAAACGACGUCUAAUACUGGAUAUGACUACUGGUCGCAUGGCCUGGUGGUGGAAAGAUUUUUUGGUUGGGGAUGGACUCGCGGCCUAUCAGCUUGUUGGUGAGGUAAUGGCUCACCAAGGCGACGACGGGUAGCCGGCCUGAGAGGGUGACCGGCCACACUGGGACUGAGACACGGCCCAGACUCCUACGGGAGGCAGCAGUGGGGAAUAUUGCACAAUGGGCGAAAGCCUGAUGCAGCAACGCCGCGUGAGGGAUGACGGCCUUCGGGUUGUAAACCUCUUUUAGUAGGGAAGAAGCGCAAGUGACGGUACCUGCAGAAAAAGCACCGGCUAACUACGUGCCAGCAGCCGCGGUAAUACGUAGGGUGCAAGCGUUGUCCGGAAUUAUUGGGCGUAAAGAGCUCGUAGGCGGUUUGUCGCGUCUGCUGUGAAAUCCCGAGGCUCAACCUCGGGCUUGCAGUGGGUACGGGCAGACUAGAGUGCGGUAGGGGAGAUUGGAAUUCCUGGUGUAGCGGUGGAAUGCGCAGAUAUCAGGAGGAACACCGAUGGCGAACGCAGAUCUCUGGGCCGUAACUGACGCUGAGGAGCGAAAGCGUGGGGAGCGAACAGGAUUAGAUACCCUGGUAGUCCACGCCGUAAACGUUGGGCGCUAGAUGUAGGGACCUUUCCACGGUUUCUGUGUCGUAGCUAACGCCUUAAGCGCCCCGCCUGGGGAGUACGGCCGCAAGGCUAAAACUCAAAGGAAUUGACGGGGGCCCGCCCAAGCGGCGGAGCAUGCGGAUUAAUUUGAUGCAACGCGAAGAACCUUACCAAGGCUUGACAUACACCGGAAACGGCCAGAGAUGGUUGCCCCCUUGUGGUCGGUGUACAGGUGGUGCAUGGUUGUCGUCAGCUCGUGUCGUGAGAUGUUGGGUUAAGUCCCGCAACGAGCGCAACCCUCGUUCU
rnacentral:rRNA from 1 species